UACGAAGGGGGCUAGCGUUGCUCGGAAUUACUGGGCGUAAAGCGCACGUAGGCGGUCUUUUAAGUCGGGGGUGAAAUCCUGGAGCUCAACUCCAGAACUGCCUUCGAUACUGGAAGACUUGAGUCCGGGAGAGGUGAGUGGAACUGCGAGUGUAGAGGUGAAAUUCGUAGAUAUUCGCAAGAACACCCGGUGGCGAAGGCGGCUCACUGGCUCGUAACUGACGCUCAUGCACGACAGCGUGGGGAUCAAACAGG
rnacentral:rRNA from 1 species